rnacentral:rRNA from 1 species
UACGAAGGGGGCUAGCGUUGCUCGGAAUCACUGGGCGUAAAGCGCACGUAGGCGGACUCUUAAGUCGGUGGUGAAAUCCUGGAGCUCAACUCCAGAACUGCCUUCGAUACUGGGAGUCUCGAGUCCGGGAGAGGUGAGUGGAACUGCGAGUGUAGAGGUGAAAUUCGUAGAUAUUCGCAAGAACACCAGUGGCGAAGGCGACUACCUGGCCCGUGUUGUGACGACUGAGGCGGCGAAA